rnacentral:rRNA from 1 species
UGGGGAAUAUUGCACAAUGGGCGCAAGCCUGAUGCAGCCAUGCCGCGUGUGUGAAGAAGGCAUUCGGGUUGUAAAGCACUUUCAGCGGGGAGGAAGGCGAUAAGGUUAAUAACCUUGUCGAUUGACGUUACCCGCAGAAGAAGCACCGGCUAACUCCGUGCCAGCAGCCGCGGUAAUACGGAGGGUGCAAGCGUUAAUCGGAAUUACUGGGCGUAAAGCGCACGCAGGCGGUCUGUCAAGUCGGAUGUGAAAUCCCCGGGCUUAACCUGGGAACUGAAUUAGAAACUGGCAGGAUAGAGUCUUGUAGAGGGGGGUAGAAUUCCAGGUGUAGCGGUGAAAUGCGUAGAGAUCUGGAGGAAUACCGGUGGCGAAGGCGGCCCCCUGGACAGAGACCGACGCUCAGGUGCGAAAGCGUGGGGAGCAAACAGG